rnacentral:tRNA from 1 species
GGAGGGUUGCCGGAGCGGCCGAUCGGGACGGUCUUGAAAACCGUUGACGCCCGCUAGGGCGUCCAUGGGUUCGAAUCCCAUACCCUCCGCCA